rnacentral:rRNA from 1 species
AAGCUUGCUUGUUGGGGUUGUAGGACACUCUAUACGGAGUUACAAAGGACGACAUUAGACGAAUCAUCUGGAAAGAUGAAUCAAAGAAGGUAAUAAUCCUGUAGUCGAAAAUGUUGUCUCUCUUGAGUGGAUCCUGAGUACGACGGAGCACGUGAAAUUCCGUCGGAAUCUGGGAGGACCAUCUCCUAAGGCUAAAUACUCUCUAGUGACCGAUAGUGAACCAGUACCGUGAGGGAAAGGUGAAAAGCACCCCGGAAGGGGAGUGAAAUAGAACCUGAAACCGUGUGCUUACAAGUAGUCAGAGCCCGUUAAUGGGUGAUGGCGUGCCUUUUGUAGAAUGAACCGGCGAGUUACGAUUUGAUGCAAGGUUAAGCAGUAAAUGUGGAGCCGUAGCGAAAGCGAGUCUGAAUAGGGCGUUUAGUAUUUGGUCGUAGACCCGAAACCAGGUGAUCUACCCUUGGUCAGGUUGAAGUUCAGGUAACACUGAAUGGAGGACCGAACCGACUUACGUUGAAAAGUGAGCGGAUGAACUGAGGGUAGCGGAGAAAUUCCAAUCGAACCUGGAGAUAGCUGGUU